CCUACGGGUGGCAGCAGUGAGGAAUAUUGGUCAAUGGACGAGAGUCUGACCCAGCCAAGUAGCGUGAAGGAUGAAUGCCCUAUGGGUUGUAAACUUCUUUUAUAUGGGAAUAAAAUGUUCCACGUGUGGGAUUUUGUAUGUACCAUAUGAAUAAGGAUCGGCUAACUCCGUGCCAGCAGCCGCGGUGAUACGGAGGAUCCGAGCGUUAUCCGGAUUUAUUGGGUUUAAAGGGAGCGUAGGUGGAUUGUUAAGUCAGUUGUGAAAGUGUGCGGCUCAACCGUAAAAUUGCAGUUGAAACUGGCAGUCGUGAGUGCAGGAGAGGUGGGCGGAAGUCGUGGUGUAGCAGUGAAAUGCGUAGAUAGCACGAAGAACUCCGAUUGCGAAGGCAGCUCACUGGACUGCAACUGACACUGAGGCGCGAAAGUGUGGGUAUCAAACAGGAUUAGAUACCCUAGUAGUC
rnacentral:rRNA from 1 species